rnacentral:rRNA from 1 species
UACGUAGGGGGCAAGCGUUGUCCGGAAUCAUUGGGCGUAAAGCGCGCGUAGGCGGCCCGGUAAGUCCGUUGUGAAAGUCAAAGGCUCAACCUUUGAAUGCCGACGGAUACUGCCGGGCUAGAGUACGGAAGAGGCGAGUGGAAUUCCUGGUGUAGCGGUGAAAUGCGCAGAUAUCAGGAAGAACACCUAUGGCGAAGGCAGCUCUCUGGGACGGUACUGACGCUGAGACGCGAAAGCGUGGGGAGCGAACAGG